rnacentral:rRNA from 1 species
AACGAACGCUGGCGGCAUGCCUAACACAUGCAAGUCGAACGAGACCUUCGGGUCUAGUGGCGCACGGGUGCGUAACGCGUGGGAACCUGCCCUUAGGUUCGGAAUAACUCCCCGAAAGGGGUGCUAAUACCGGAUAAUGUCUUCGGACCAAAGAUUUAUCGCCUUUGGAUGGGCCCGCGUUGGAUUAGCUAGUUGGUAGGGUAAAAGCCUACCAAGGCGACGAUCCAUAGCUGGUCUGAGAGGAUGAUCAGCCACACUGGGACUGAGACACGGCCCAGACUCCUACGGGAGGCAGCAGUGGGGAAUAUUGGACAGUGGGCGAAAGCCUGAUCCAGCAAUGCCGCGUGAGUGAUGAAGGCCUUAGGGUUGUAAAGCUCUUUUACCCGGGAUGAUAAUGACAGUACCGGGAGAAUAAGCUCCGGCUAACUCCGU